UCCUCACUAGACGCGUUUCGCCGUGGCUUUUUCAAAAGUGAAUACUUGCUGCAAGGGGUCCUCGAGGUUAUAAACCUUCUAUAAUUGUAGAAACGGAUUCCGGUAUGUGUAGCUUGUCAUUUCCGGUUUCGUCGCGAUGACGCAAGCGGAAGUCCUCCGGGCGCCAUUUUGUAUAUGGGCAAGGUUCGUAAAUGCCCAAAGGAUGGCACAAUAG